rnacentral:rRNA from 1 species
GACGAACGCUGGCGGCGUGCUUAACACAUGCAAGUCGAACGGUGAAGCGCCUUCCUUUUUGGUGGGUGUGGAUGAGUGGCGAACGGGUGAGUAACACGUGAGUAACCUGCCCCCUUCUUCUGGAUAACCGCAUGAAGCUUGGGCUAUUCGGGCUAUUCCGGGUCUGUUGCAAGAUGGGUCUGGGAAAGACUUUGUUUCGGGGGGGGACGGGUUUGCGGUCUAGCAGGUUGUUGGUGGGGUGAUGGCCUAACCAGGCGGUGAGGGGUAGUCGGCGUGAGAGGGUGGGCGGUCACACUAGGGAUGAGACACGGAGCAGACUCCUACGGGAGGCAGCAGGGGGGAAUAUUGCACAAUGGGAGCAAGGCUGAUGCAGCGACGCCGCGUGAGGGAUGGAGGCCUUCGGGUUGUGAACCUCUUUCGCCAGUGAAGCAGGGCUGCCUCGUUUGUGGGUGGGUUGACGGUAGCUGGAUAAGAAGCGCCGGCUAACUACGUG